ensembl:lncRNA
AGUGCAGAUCUGAGUAGGGUGGCCUUUUGCAGCUGACAGAUAGUAAAUUAUUAUUAUUAUUUGCUGCACAUAGCAAACAAGAUUACUAUGCUGGCUUUUGUAUUGGUUCAGACACUUCCCAGGUGUCUAGGACUAUGUGCUGAAUUGGCUAAUAAUAUGUGCGGAUCCAAGUAGGGUGGCCUUUUGCAGCUGACAGAUGGUAAUUUUGUCAGUGCUGAUUGUUUUCAAAUGCUGGCAGGAAUAAUUUGGCUUUUUAGAUCAUGGUUUGUGGUCUCAUGAAGAUGAACUAAGCUCUCAUCUUUUGCCAUUCUAUUCAGAAAAGGGGGUGGUUCCUUUUUGUUUUGUUUUGAUAAGGUAGGACACUAACAGUGGUCUAUAUAUAAGUCAAGCCAAGAUGUUUUGACUAAAAUUUGUAGACUUAUACAUGAGUAAAUAUGUCUCAGAGCAAACCAUCUCCCAGCUAAGGAGGUUUAAAAAUUAUGUAGGGUGCAUCUAUACAAUCAAAUCAAUGCAGUUUGACACCACUUUAAUUGUUAUAACUCAAUGCUAUGGAAACUUGCCUUGAAUCUAGAAUGUAUUCAUUCAUUAUCUUGUUUUCUUCCAUUUUUUUCAAGGGGAAUAUGAAUAAAGUUCAUGACAAUAUCCAUAACUUUUUUGAAUCCAUUAUGUGUUUCCUUUGAGUGCAUUCAUGGGUGGAUUUAUUUAUUUGUUUAGGUAGUUUAAUUACCAUGCUGCCUUUUCCCAAAAUGGGACUUAAAAAAUCUUAGGACAAAAGUUAAAACAAAAUAGCUAAAGCACUAUUGUGCUGUGAAAGUUAAAACAGAAUUUUAAAAACAUAUUCAAAGCAUUACUUUAAGACAUUAAUUUCUAACAGUUAUAAACAAAUGAAAUUCUUAUGGCAUUUUAAAUAAAUGCAUACGGGAUUUGGGGUGUUGGUGGUGGUGGUGGGGACUGUGUGUUUUAAAAUGUAUUUUUAAUUGUAUUUAUUAUAUUUUAAUUGUAUUUCUAACCUAACCCACACAGGAUUAUUUAAUUGUUUUUUUUCUCCAUUUUUGGCUUUGUUUCUUUUUAAAGGGGCCAAUACUAUUUUCCUCCAGACCACACAUUUCUAGCAUUGCAAUCAUUUAACAUUUCAAUUGGGCAGUUAGAAAUUGGAUCUAGGCUUCAAAAGAAAAGAGGUUAAAAAGUUACAAAUGAACACAGCUAAUAUACAUAAAACUAUGAACUCAACAAAGGAUUUUUUUGAAGGGGGCAGAAUUCUUAUUUGGGGAAGCAAAGCCGUAAUUCUACCCCCUGCCCACAAGUAGCUACACUUCUACAAUAUGUGUGUUUAUAUGUGUGUGUGUGUGUGUGUGUGUGUGUGUAUGAAGGAGGAAAAAGUCUGAAAUAAGCGCAGCACCCAUUAUUGAAAAUUUAAAACACAUUUACUUUCAAGGAUAUUGAAUGUAAAAAUGUAAUUAAUGUUUACUGUGAUACUCAGACCUUUCGUUGCCAAGCAACACAAGCAUUUGCAUUUUCUUUUAUCUCACCAAUAUUGCAUGGUUGUUUAUAAAUAAAAGCUUUCUAUCUGUGAAUUAGGGAAGAGGGAUGGGGGAAAAGACCAAAACAGAUUUUAUGUAUCAGGUGCAAGAAAAAAUAUCACAUAGCUAACUAUAUACACAUUCGUUUUUGGCGUAUAAUAAAUGGAUAACAUAUAAUAGUAAUUGAAUUUAGCCGCCCUUUGGUAUGGCAAAGCAAUUUUUCGAAAGGAUAAUUGUCUCCUGUUCUGAGAAAUAAUUCAAGGACAUGAAAUAAGCGCUAAGAGGAAGGCA